GACGAACGCUGGCGGCGUGCUUAACACAUGCAAGUCGAACGGUAAGGCCCUUCGGGGUACACGAGUGGCGAACGGGUGAGUAACACGUGGGUGAUCUGCCCUGCACUUCGGGAUAAGCCUGGGAAACUGGGUCUAAUACCGGAUAGGACUCCGGACUGCAUGGUCUGGGGUGGAAAGCUUUUGCGGUGUGGGAUGGGCCCGCGGCCUAUCAGCUUGUUGGUGGGGUGAUGGCCUACCAAGGCGACGACGGGUAGCCGGCCUGGGAGGGUGACCGGCCACACUGGGACUGAGACACGGCCCAGACUCCUACGGUAGGCAGCAGUGGGGAAUAUUGCACAAUGGGCGCAAGCCUGAUGCAGCGACGCCGCGUGAGGGAUGACGGCCUUCGGGUUGUAAACCUCUUUCAGCAUCGACGAAGCGAAAGUGACGGUAGGUGCAGAAGAAGGACCGGCCAACUACGUGCCAGCCGCCGCGGUAA
rnacentral:rRNA from 1 species